AAGAAUACUCAGGUUACUUCUGAAACAACAACUUUAUUAUUAUGUAGAGGUGCUAGUGGAAGUUGAGAACCGGUGGAGUAUUUGGGUCAUGGACUUUUGAUGCUCCUAUCACAUGUGUUCAAAGAAUGAAUACUUUGAGACUCUAGAGCUUGAAGUUUCAAGGUAUGGGUUCAGUUUGUCUUACGAAGUUUGACAAUCGUGAGUUUCUUUACACGAUGUGAGGUAUGUUUCUGAACUUAGAUUCAAAGAUA
rnacentral:lncRNA from 1 species